UACGGAGGGGGCAAGCGUUGUUCGGAAUUACUGGGCGUAAAGGGCGCGUAGGCGGCCUUCUAAGUCAGACGUGAAAUCCCCAGGCUUAACUUGGGAACUGCGUCUGAUACUGGGAGGCUUGAGUGCGGGAGAGGGAUGUGGAAUUCCAGGUGUAGCGGUGAAAUGCGUAGAUAUCAGGAGGAACACCGAUGGCGAAGGCAGGCCCCUGGGCCAAAACUGACGCUGAGGAGCGAAAGCAUGGGGAGCGAACAGG
rnacentral:rRNA from 1 species